rnacentral:rRNA from 1 species
UACGUAGGGUGCAAGCGUUGUCCGGAAUUAUUGGGCGUAAAGAGCUCGUAGGCGGUCUGUCGCGUCUGCUGUGAAAACUCAGGGCUUAACCCUGAGCUUGCAGUGGGUACGGGCAGACUAGAGUGCGGUAGGGGAGACUGGAAUUCCUGGUGUAGCGGUGAAAUGCGCAGAUAGUCAGGAGGAACACCGGUGGCGAAGGCGGGUCUCUGGGCCG